AACGAACGCUGGCGGCAGGCUUAACACAUGCAAGUCGAACGCAUCCUUCGGGGUGAGUGGCAGACGGGUGAGUAACGCGUGGGAACGUGCCCUUCAGUUCGGGAUAACCCAGGGAAACUUGGGCUAAUACCGGAUACGUGCGAGAGCAGAAAGAUUUAUCGCUGAAGGAUCCGCCCGCGUCUGAUUAGCUAGUUGGUGGGGUAAUGGCCCACCAAGGCGACGAUCAGUAGCUGGUCUAAGAGGAUGAUCAGCCACAUUGGGACUGAGACACGGCCCAAACUCCUCCGGGAGGCGGCAGUGGGGAAUAUUGGACAAUGGGCGCAAGCGUGAUCCAGCCAUGCCGCGUGAGUGAUGAAGGCCUUAGGGUUGUAAAGCUCUUUCGUCCGGGACGAUAAUGACGGUACCGGAAGAAGAAGCCCCGGCUAACUUCGUGCCAGCCGCCGCAGUAAUAC
rnacentral:rRNA from 1 species